rnacentral:rRNA from 1 species
UACGUAGGGUGCAAGCGUUGUCCGGAAUUAUUGGGCGUAAAGAGCUCGUAGGCGGCCUGUUACGUCUGCUGUGAAAUCCCGGGGCUUAACCCCGGGCGUGCAGUGGAUACGGGCAGGCUGGAGGCAGGCAGGGGAGAGCGGAAUUCCCGGUGUAGCGGUGAAAUGCGUAGAUAUCGGAAGGAACACCUGUGGCGAAAGCGGCUCACUGGACCAUUACUGACGCUGAUGCACGAAAGCUAGGGGAGCAAACAGG